UACGUAGGCAGCGAGCGUUGUUCGGAGUUACUGGGCGUAAAGGGCUCGUAGGCGGCCAACUAAGUCAGACGUGAAAUCCCUCGGCUUAACCGGGGAACUGCGUCUGAUACUGGAUGGCUUGAGUUUGGGAGAGGGAUGCGGAAUUCCAGGUGUAGCGGUGAAAUGCGCAGAUAUCAGGAAGAACACCAAUGGCGAAAGCAGCUCUCUGGGACGGUACUGACGCUGAGACGCGAAAGCGUGGGGAGCGAACAGG
rnacentral:rRNA from 1 species